GACGAAUGCUGGCGGCGUGCUUAACACAUGCAAGUCGAACGGAAAGGCCCUGCUUGCAGGGUACUCGAGUGGCGAACGGGUGAGUAACACGUGGGUGAUCUGCCCUGCACUUCGGGAUAAGCCUGGGAAACUGGGUCUAAUACCGGAUAGGAGCCAUUUUUAGUGCGAGGGUUGGAAAGUUUUUUCGGUGUAGGAUGAGCUCGCGGCCUAUCAGCUUGUUGGUGGGGUAAUGGCCUACCAAGGCGGCGACGGGUAGCCGGCCUGAGAGGGUGGACGGCCACAUUGGGACUGAGAUACGGCCCAGACUCCUACGGGAGGCAGCAGUGGGGAAUAUUGCACAAUGGGAGCAAGCCUGAUGCAGCGACGCCACGUGGGGGAUGACGGCCUUCGGGUUGUAAACUCCUUUCGCUAGGGACGAAGCUUUUGUGACGGUACCUAGAUAAGAAGCACCGGCUAACUACGUG
rnacentral:rRNA from 1 species